CUCGGGUUAACAGAUGGUAGUGAGCUGUCUGAACUACUUAAAAUUUUCAGGUAAAAGGGCAGCAAGCAUUCUUAAACUGCUGAGCGGCCCUCUAGGUGUUCUUUGCUGGGGCAGGGGAGUUAGCAGGGAGGAAGUGGAGAGAACUGGGAGAGUUGAGACCCUCCUUCUGAGCGUUAAGCUGCAUGUAGAUAAUAUCUGCAGGUGUGGCACAAUUGAAAAGGCAGUGGCUUUCAGGCUAGUCACUGCACGGACUAGUAAGGCAGCUCUCUUGCUCCCAGCACCGUGCAUCUGAUUCUCCGUUCUCAGGGACCACCUGACAUGGUUAAACAGCCCUGGCUUAACGUUCCAGACACUGCUGCCAAUACUUGCGGCUGUUAGUUCCUGAUUUCUGCUUAAGGCUUUGCAGUUCUGCUUAUAGUCCUGUGAUCAGAGACACUUCCUCCUGUGGCAGCUGAAUUCCACGUUUCCCGAAACAGGAUUUCCCUAUUUUGUAGAGAACUUCCAUGAUUGAAUCUUCCUGCUUCUGGAAAUAAAAUGGGUAGUCCCUUGCAUACAAAGCUUGGAGGGUGUCUCUCAUUCUUCUCUUCUUCUGCUUUUUCUCAUCUACCUGAGAAUAAUUUUAAAUGGAUCGAAGGAAUGAAUGUCAGCCACCAAACUGAGAAGUUGACUUGCCUUUAAUCACCUGUAACUUUGUUAGAAUAAUAAAUUCUGUAGAAAGCUAA